GUCCACGCUGUAAACGAUGGGCACUAGGUGUCCGGGGUAUUGACCCCCUGGGUGCCGCAGCUAACGCAUUAAGUGCCCCGCCUGGGGGAGUACGGUCGCAAGAUUAAAACUCAAAGGAAUUGACGGGGGCCCGCACAAGCGGUGGAGCAUGUGGUUCAAUUCGACGCAACGCGAAGAACCUUACCUGGGCUAGACAACGGUGGACCGUCCUAGAGAUAGGAUUUUCCCUUCGGGGACUGCCGGUUCAGGUGCUGCAUGGCUGUCGU
rnacentral:rRNA from 1 species